GUCCACGCUGUAAACGAUGAAUACUAGGUGUUGGGUUUUAACUCAGUGCCGCAGCUAACGCAUUAAGUAUUCCACCUGGGAAGUACGAUCGCAAGGUUGAAACUCAAAGGAAUUGACGGGGGCCCGCACAAGCAGUGGAGCAUGUGGUUUAAUUCGAUGCAACGCGAAGAACCUUACCUAGGCUUGAAAGGCAAGUGACAGGGUAUGAAAGUACCCCUCCAGCAAUGGCACUUGUACAGGUGCUGCAUGGCUGUCGU
rnacentral:rRNA from 1 species